GGCGCCGUAGCCAAGCGGGAAGGCAGCGGUCUGCAAAACCGCCAGCACCGGUUCAAAUCCGGUCGGCGCCU
rnacentral:tRNA from 1 species